UAAGCUAUUAAGGGCUAACGGCGGAUGCCUUGGCAUCGGAAGGCGAUGAAGGACGUGGCAAGCUGCGAUAAGCUUCGGGGAGUUGUUAACAGGCUUUGAUCCGGAGAUUUCCGAAUGGGGAAACCCGACAGGAGUUAUAUCCUGUCAUCUGUUACUGAAUACAUAGGUAGCAGAGGCGAACGCGGGGAAUUGAAACAUCUAAGUACCUGCAGGAAUAGAAAUCAAAAGAGAUUCUGUGAGUAGCGGCGAGCGAAAGCGGAACAGCCCAAACCGGUAAAUUUAUUUACCGGGGUUGUAGGACCCCAAUGUGGGAUUGAAAAUGUAUAGCGGAACAGUAUGGAAAGGCUGACCAGAGACGGUGAUAGUCCGGUACGCGAAAUGCAGUUUCACCCUAGGGAGUUCCUGAGUACCACGAGACACGUGAAACCUUGUGGGAAUCUGGGAGGACCAUCUUCCAAGGCUAAAUACUAACCGAUGACCGAUAGUGAACGAGUACCGUGAGGGAAAGGUGAAAAGAACGGGGGAACCCGAGUGAAAUAGAAACUGAAACCGUUAGCCUACAAGCAGUGGAAGCACUAUGUAUUUAUACAGUGUGACCGCGUGCCUUUUGCAUAAUGAGUCAACGACUUACCCUGUGCAGCGAGGUUAAGCCGCGAGGUGGAGCCGCAGCGAAAGCGAGUCUUAAUAGGGCGAAUGAGUUGUAUGGGGUAGACCCGAAGCCGGGUGAUCUAUCCAUGGCCAGGGUGAAGUCUCGGUAACACGAGAUGGAGGCCCGAACCGAUAUAGGUUGAAAACUGUUCGGAUGAGCUGUGGAUAGGAGUGAAAGGCUAAUCAAACUCGGUAAUAGCUGGUUUUCUCCGAAAUAUAUUUAGGUAUAGCCUCAUAUGAUGACUGACGGAGGUAGAGCACUGACAAGACUAGGGGUCCCACCGGAUUACCAACUCUUUUCAAACUCCGAAUGCCGUCAAGUUCAAGUAUGGGAGUCAGACUACGGGAGAUAAGUUCCGUGGUCGAAAGGGAAACAGCCCAGACCGUCAGCUAAGGUCCCCAAAUCUAUGCUAAGUGGGAAAGGAUGUGGAAUUGCAGAUACAACCAGGAGGUUGGCUUAGAAGCAGCAACCCUUUAAAGAAAGCGUAACAGCUCACUGGUCUAGUGAUACCGCGCCGAAAAUUUAACGGGGCUAAGCAUAGUACCGAAGCUACGGAUCGCGCCUUUGGCGCGAUGGUAGGAGAACAUUGUGGCCGCCUGAGAAGGUACACCGAAAGGAGUGCUGGAGGUUCCACAAGAGCUUAUGUUGACACGAGUAGCGAUAAUGAGGGUGAGAAACCCUCACGCCGAAAGCCUCAGGUUUCCUGUAGUCAAGUUAAUCUGCUCAGGGUUAGUCGGCCCCUAAGGCGAGGCCGAGAGGCGUAGUCGAUGGGAAACAGGUUAAUAUUCCUGUACCACUUUUCUGAUGUUAUGGUAAGGGGUGACGGAGAAGGUAAGGCCAUCCGGGCGUUGGUUGUCCCGGUUUAAGCGUGUAGACGGAGGACUCAGGCAAAUCCGGGUUCUUGUUAACGUUGAGGCGUGAUGACGAUGUCUUUGAGACAACAAAGUGGCUGGUUCCAUGCUUCCUGGAAAAUCCUCGUAUCUAGUCAGAGAUGUGACCGUACCGUAAACCGACACAGGUAGGCAGGUAGAGAAUACCAAGGCGCUUGAGAGAACUCUGGUUAAGGAACUCGGCAAAAUAGCACCGUAACUUCGGGAGAAGGUGUGCCUGCAUGGUGAAGUUAUUUACUAAUUGAGCCUGGUCAGGUUGCAGUGAAAUGGGGGGAGCGACUGUUUACUAAAAACACAGGACUCUGCGAAGUCGAAAGACGAAGUAUAGGGUCUGACGCCUGCCCGGUGCCGGAAGGUUAAGGGGACGUGUUACCCCG
rnacentral:rRNA from 1 species